rnacentral:rRNA from 1 species
UGAAUACGAGACGCUAAGGCGUCGAAGUAGUGUAUGUCAUACUUCCAAGAAAAGCUUGCACUGUCAUAGAUAAAAAACGCCUGUACCAUAACCGACACAGGUGGGUAGGUAGAGUAUACUAAGGGGCGCGAGAUAACUCUCUCUAAGGAACUCGGCAAAAUAACUCCGUAACUUCGGGAGAAGGAGUGCCUUAUUCUUAAGGUUGCGAUAACAAGAUCCAAGCAACUGUUUAUCAAAAACACAGGUCUCCGCUAAGUCGUAAGACGAUGUAUGGGGGCUGACGCCUGCCCAGUGCCAGAAGGUUAAAGAAGCUGGUUAGCAUUUGCGAAGCUAGUAACUGAAGCCCUGGUGAACGGCGGCCGUAACAAUAACGGUCCUAAGGUAGCGAAAUUCCUUGUCGGGUAAGUUCCGACCCGCACGAAAGGCGUAAUGAUUUGGAUACUGUCUCGGAGAGGGGCUCGGUGAAAUAGACUUGUCUGUGAAGAUGCGGACUACCUGCACCAGGACAGAAAGACCCUAUGAAGCUUUACUGUAACUUGAAAUUGAAAUUGGACUUUAUUCGCGCAGUAUAGGUGGGAGGCGUUGAUUAUAAUCUUGCGGGAUUAUUGGAGCCAUUAGUGAGAUACCACUCUUGUAAUGUUAGAUUUCUAACUUUGAAUCAUUAUCUGGUCAAAGAACAGUUUCAGGCGGGCAGUUUGACUGGGGCGGUCGCCUCCCAAACGGUAACGGAGGCGUACAAAGGUUUCCUCUGAACGGUUAGAAAUCGUAUCUAGAGUGUAAAGGCAUAAGGAAGCUUGACUGUGAGACCUACAAGUCGAGCAGGGACGAAAGUCGGUCUUAGUGAUCUGACGGUACUGAGUGGAAAGGCCGUCACUCAACGGAUGAAAGUUACUCUAGGAUAACAGGCUGAUCUCCCCCAAGAGUUCACAUCGACGGGGAGGUUUGGCACCUCGAUGUCGGCUCAUCGCAUCCUGGGGCGGUAGUACGUCCCAAGGGUUGGGCUGUUCGCCCAUGAAAGCGGUACGCGAGCUGGGUUCAGAACGUCGUGAGACAGUUCGGUCCAUAUCCGGUGUAGGCGUUAGAAUAUUGAGAGGAGCCUUCUUUAGUACGAGAGGACCGAGAAGGACAUACCUCUGGUGUACCAGUUAUCGUGCCAACGGUAGACGCUGGGUAGCUAUGUAUGGAGUGGAUAACCGCUGAAAGCAUCUAAGUGGGAAGCCCACCUCAAGAUAAG